GGACAAGAAUCAAGAUAAAUCCAUCCUAACUCUGUGAACUGACAUACCGGUCUCAUAGUAGCUGACCCAUGGUUUGCUGGUUUUCUUUUGCACCAAGUUAGAGGUAAUUGUGUGAGCUUCACAGCAUGAUAAUUUCAAAGACAACUAUGGAAUGAGGACCUGCCAGAGCAGCCCUUGCACGGGGUCUUUUGGGCCCAGGACGCUGUGGUAGAUGAGGACACCGGUGUCAGCCGUGUGCUCGGGGCUGUCCAGGAGGCAGCCAUCGUGACAGAAGGGGAAUGAACCAUAGCAUGUGCCCUGCUUACAGCAGCUGUAUAAACUGAGCCAGCACAGCCAC
rnacentral:lncRNA from 1 species